UGCGCACGCUCUCGCGCAUUCAUCCACAAGCGAGCACACUUGCCAAGACCAACAAGCUAGGGAUUAAAUGUUUCCGUGUGGUGACGUCAUCAUCCAAUAAGAGGCAUGAUCACCAACUCCUACAAGUGAACGCGUCAGCAGCCCUCCUCGCCCGCGUCGCCGCCGCCGUCGCCGCCGCAGCGCGCUGGCGGCAGGUAAGGCCGAAGAAAGGCGUGCACCAUGCACUGGCCCAUAUCCACGGCGAAAACCCGGCUUCCUGCUGCUGCCAGACAACAGCUUACGAGCAACAGGAUGUAAAACAGGAGCAGGAGAGUGGCGGGAGGGCGGGGCGGCGGUGAGAGGCGGGAGGAAUGAGGGCAGACACGAGGCGGGCUCACGGCGCCGAGCAGGGCCCUGCCGCGGCCGCUGCGCCUAGCUCAAGUUCUAUUUUGGAAAAUUAUCUCCAGGCAGUGUGUGCCAACGUCGAUGAGAUCCUCUGAUUUCACCUGACAUUCUGCUGCACGUGAUCUGGUGAAACUCGGCGCCAGUAGUAAAAAAAAAAAAAUGUUGUUUAUGUUCAAAGUUUGCAGUAAUCAGCAGGAAAUGGUUCAAGACCACCGUGUUGACUACAUACGCGUCACGUGAGGGAAGGUGCAGGGAAAGAAGCAGGAGUUAAGCAGCCGGAUACACAAAGUUUUCCCAAUACUCAUCCAAAUAUGUAAACUUUAACUGAUGCAGCAGCCUCCGCCGCGAGCGUCAUGCUGCCAGACGUACAAUGGAAAAGAAAAGAAAGUUACAACAGUUUUGAAGCAGGUUUGACCGAGGCACAUUAUUCGUAUCACUCAUCGGCCGCUUUACUUUAGUGACUCUAUAGCAUGACUUGUAAGGGAUCACUUUUUUCUCUAAAUAAAAGGAGGGGAUAAGCUUGCUUGAAAUACUUGCUCUCAGGUAAGUUAUGCUUGCUCGCUCGCCCUCGCGCCGUCUCAUCUGCCCUGCCGUCGUCUCUCGUAACACAGUGAUUCAUUGUGGCAUUUUGGAAACAUUAUAGUCUCCGCUUGCAGGGAAAUGUCUUUUUUUAUCAACUCUUGGCAUACAACAACUAAAACUCAAUUGUCUUUUUCCUGAAACUCAGAAUAUUAAUCUUCAAUAUACA